AACGAACGCUGGCGGCAGGCCUAACACAUGCAAGUCGAGCGAGGACUUCGGUCCUACCGGCGGACGGGUGAGUAACGCGUGGGAACGUGCCCUUUGCUUCGGAAUAGCCCUGGGAAACUGGGAGUAAUACCGGAUGAGCCCUUUGGGGGAAAGAUUUAUCGGCGAAGGAUCGGCCCGCGUUGGAUUAGGUAGUUGGUGGGGUAAUGGCCUACCAAGCCGACGAUCCAUAGCUGGUUUGAGAGGAUGAUCAGCCACACUGGGACUGAGACACGGCCCAGACUCCUACGGGAGGCAGCAGUGGGGAAUCUUAGACAAUGGGGGAAACCCUGAUCUAGCCAUGCCGCGUGAGCGAUGAAGGCCUUAGGGUUGUAAAGCUCUUUCAGCUGGGAAGAUAAUGACGGUACCAGCAGAAGAAGCCCCGGCUAACUCCGUG
rnacentral:rRNA from 1 species